AGGAAUUUCCGGUGGAUAUGUUUGAUGAUUAGUAUUAACUGCAGGUUUAGUAGGUUGCAAGAGCUCUGCAGCUUCUAUGAUAGACGUUGCGUACGAGAGGAGUAUAUCUGGAAUUUUGUUGCUACUACCACUACUCAAAGCUUGAUAUAUUUUUGACUGCAUUUCAGCAAGAUCAAUAAGCUCAUCUGCUGACAUAUUGCAGGAUUUACUUAUUACUUUUUCAAAUUCCUCUCUAAUAUUUAAUGCAUUAGUUUGUGCCUCUAGUAAGGACACAGAUUGCUCUGCUGUA